rnacentral:lncRNA from 1 species
CAGUCCCCGAGAGACUCUCUCGAGAUUUUCCACUAACUUGUCAAGCUUACGGGUGCUCAACAAACCUUUACAACUUAAGGACGCACGCCUUAACACCUUUGCUCAGAGAUACAACACUCCAAGACUUCAACCAAGGAAACACGUUCCUUACAACAAGAGAAUCACAAUUCUCUAACAAGUGUACAAAACACUAAACACUCAAACAAAACACUCCUUAAUGAGUAGAUAUGAGUAAAAGAAGUAGGCUCAAGACUACAACUACUAUGGACAAGACUUUGGCUCUCAAAAGCUUUAUGAAAUGAAUAUAAAAUGAUAAACAAUAAUAUGCAAGCUUAUAGCAAUAGAAUGAUCAGUUGUUNNN